rnacentral:misc_RNA from 1 species
GAAAUGCGAUAAGUAGUGUGAAUUGCAGAAUUCAGUGAAUCAUCUAAUCUUUGAACGCACAUUGCGCCCCUCGGUAUUCCGUGGGGCAUGCCUGUUCGAGCGUCAUCUACACCCUCAAGCUCUGCUUGGUGUUGGGCGUCUGUCCCGCCUCCUUCGCGCGCGGACUCGCCCCAAAUCCAUUGGCGGCGGCCCUUGCCUCCCUCUCGCGCAGCACAUUGCGCUUCUCGAGGCGCGGCGGACCGCGUCCAGCAAGCAACCGUCACACCGUCUUUGACCUCGGAUCAGGUAGGGAUACCCGCUGAACUUAAGC